rnacentral:rRNA from 1 species
GCUUACGGCCAUACACCUGGCUAUGCCCGAUCUCGUCUGAUCUCGGAAGCUAAAGCAGGUUUGGGCCUGGUUAGUACUUGGAUGGGAGACCGCCUGGGAAUACCAGGUGCUGUAAGCU